GCCGGCUUCGGUAAGACAUAUACUAAAAUUGGAACAACACAGAGGAGAUUAGCAUGGCCCUGUGCAAAUAUGACAUGCAAAUUCUUGAAGCGUUCUAUGUUUUU